CCUGUGGCACCUUAUUUUUUAUUUUUUUACGUGCCAGUGUUGCCAUGGCGCAUGUCUCUAUCGACACGGUUAAUUUAAUUAGUGAAAAGAGGUGCUUAUGAUAUUGUGUUUUUAGUGAUGUGUUAUUGAAUUUUUUUAAGGAAUUUUACUGAUUUUGGAUGCGUUUUGGGAUUUUCUUUGGGAUUAAGCCAUGCCGACGCGGGACUACAAGCGACGGAAAUAAGUAGCACCAUGAAUCCCGCCCAUGCGCGGUAAACAUGCGCGACCGAGGGAGGCGGGGCCAUGGAGUACGUGCCCAACAACCCGCAGUUCGGGCUGGCGGAGUUCUGCCAGGGCCACGGAUGCUGCGACCCUCUGCAGCCUUGCUCUUGCGUGCUCAGGGACUUCCAGGACGACUGCUGUCAGCAAGAAAACGAAAACUGCUGCCCAGAAAAUGGCGAAGAACU